GUAAGCUCCCUGAGGGGUGCCUGCUGAGCUCCCCUCUGCCUUUUCCCAGGGCAGUGAUGGUGUGAAGAUUGGCAAUGAUUUGUUAACUGUCCUAGGGGAGCCCCUAGCCUGCAGUAGGCCUGGAGCAAAGGGAAGAUUUUGAAAUCGUGCGUGUUGAAAUGAGUGGACCCAGAGAUGAAUGAGACAAGCUCCCUGCCCUUGGAAACCCAACAAAAGAGUGAGGCGUGGAGAACAGUUUCAAGGAACUUCUGGAAAAGGGCUGUGAAAAUCAUGCUGCAGGAACACCUACAUCAUUGCUGGCCUGGAAACUGAGGACGGCUUCCGGGAGGGGGUUGCCUGGGAGAUGCGUCCAUAGGGCCUCCUGGGGAGCGGUUGGGCGUGGAUGGCGACCAAGCUUGUCAAGGGAAAAUGGCCCCAGAGAAACGCGCAGUGGGAGAGAUAAAGAAGAAUUCUACUUUUUAAAGGUUUUUCUUAGAAAAGCAACACGUGCUCAUCGGGAAAAUGGCAGUACAAGUUUGAAUAUCGUAAAGUGCGGGUCUCACUUCUUCCUGCCCCACUGUAUCCUUGGGCGAGAGCAGCGGUGGCCUCGAGGUGUGCUCAUGGAGGUGUCUGCAGAUGCGUCUAUGAUGUUGGGUAAACACCUUCUCACACAAGU
rnacentral:lncRNA from 1 species